rnacentral:rRNA from 1 species
UAGGGAAUCUUCCACAAUGGACGCAAGUCUGAUGGAGCAACGCCGCGUGAGUGAAGAAGGUCUUCGGAUCGUAAAACUCUGUUGCUAGAGAAGAACAUGCGAGAGAGUAACUGUUCUUGUAUUGACGGUAUCUAACCAGAAAGCCACGGCUAACUACGUGCCAA